rnacentral:rRNA from 1 species
AGUGAACGCUGGCGGUAGGCCUAACACAUGCGAGUCGAACGGCAGCACAGUAAGAGCUUGCUCUUACGGGUGGCGAGUGGCGGACGGGUGAGGAAUACAUCGGAAUCUACUUUUUCGUGGGGGAUAACGUAGGGAAACUUACGCUAAUACCGCAUACGACCUACGGGUGAAAGCAGGGGAUCUUCGGACCUUGCGCGAUUGAAUGAGCCGAUGUCGGAUUAGCUAGUUGGCGGGGUAAAGGCCCACCAAGGCGACGAUCCGUAGCUGGUCUGAGAGGAUGAUCAGCCACACUGGAACUGAGACACGGUCCAGACUCCUACGGGAGGCAGCAGUGGGGAAUAUUGGACAAUGGGCGCAAGCCUGAUCCAGCCAUACCGCGUGGGUGAAGAAGGCCUUCGGGUUGUAAAGCCCUUUUGUUGGGAAAGAAAAGCAGCAGGUUAAUACCGCGCUGUUCUGACGGUACCCAAAGAAUAAGCACCGGCUAACUUCGUG